GGGCCAGUGGCGAAAUCGGUAUACGCGCGACACUUAAAAUGUCGUUCCAUUAUUGGGGUGCGGGUUCAAGUCCCGCCUGGCCCA
rnacentral:tRNA from 1 species